rnacentral:tRNA from 1 species
CGGGGUGUAGCGCAGCUUGGUAGCGUACCCGCUUUGGGAGCGGGCGGUCGCAGGUUCAAAUCCUGUCACCCCGACCA